rnacentral:rRNA from 1 species
UACGGGGGGGCAAGCGUUGUUCGGAAUUACUGGGCGUAAAGGGCUCGUAGGCGGCCAACUAAGUCAGACGUGAAAUCCCCAGGCUUAACCUGGGAACUGCGUCUGAUACUGGAUGGCUUGAAUUCGGGAGAGGGAUGCAGGAAUUCCAGGUGUAGCGGUGAAAUGCGUAGAUAUCUGGAGGAAUACCGGUGGCGAAGGCGGCAUCCUGGACCGACAUUGACGCUGAGGAGCGAAAGCUAGGGGAGCAAGCGGGG